AGUGAACGCUGGCGGCAGGCCUAACACAUGCAAGUCGAACGGCAGCACAGUAAGAGCUUGCUCUUACGGGUGGCGAGUGGCGGACGGGUGAGGAAUACAUCGGAAUCUACUUUUUCGUGGGGGAUAACGUAGGGAAACCUACGCUAAUACCGCAUACGAUCUUCGGGUGAAAGCAGGGGAUCUUCGGACCUUGCGCGAUUGAAUGAGCCGAUGUCGGAUUAGCUAGUUGGCGGGGUAAAGGCCCACCAAGGCGACGAUCCGUAGCUGGUCUGAGAGGAUGAUCGGCCACACUGGAACUGAGACACGGUCCAGACUCCUACGGGAGGCAGCAGUGGGGAAUAUUGGGCAAUGGGCGCAAGCCUGAUCCAGCCAUACCGCGUGGGUGAAGAAGGCCUUCGGGUUGUAAAGCCCUUUUGUUGGGAAAGAAAAGCAGCAGGUUAAUACCCCGCUGUUCUGACGGUACCCAAAGAAUAAGCACCGGCUAACUUCGUG
rnacentral:rRNA from 1 species